UUUUCCCCCCAUUUCUGCCCAUUUUCCACCCAUUUUUCCCCCAUUUCCCCCAAUUUCACCCCAAUAUUCCCCUCUGCUGUCCAUUCUGACCCCCAUUUCCCCUCAAUUCUGCCCCAUUUCCACCCCAAUAUCUCCCCCCCCGCCCUCUCCCCUUCGCUCCCUUCUCCCACAGUAUCCCCCUAUGGGAGCCAUCCCCAUUUAGGGUCCAAAAGGUGGGAUUUUGGGGCCCAAAAAGUGGCAUUUUGGGUCAUUUUGGGUCGAAAAAGUGGCAUUUUGGGUCCUGGCAGAGCACAUACAGCACCUGAAGGCGGAGGGCUGCGGCUGCAGCGCCCCCUACAGGCGCGGAGGUCCCCAUUCUGCCCCCAUUUGCCCCAAUUUCCCCCCAAUUUCCGCCCAUUUUCUGCCCAUUUUUUCCCCCAUUUUUCCCCCAUUUCCCCCAAUUUCACCCCAAUAUUCCCCUCUGCUGUCCAUUCUGACCCCCAUUUCCCCUCAAUUCUGCCCCAUUUCCACCCCAAUAUCUCCCCCCCCCCCCCCCCCCCCUCCCCUUCGCUCCCUCCUCCCACAGUAUCCCCCUAUGGGACCCAUCCCCAUUUAGGGUCCAAAAGGUGGGAUUUUGGGGCCCAAAAAGUGGCAUUUUGGGUCAUUUUGGGUCGAAAAAGGGUCAUUUUGGGUCCUGGCAGAGUACGUGGAGCACCUGAAGGCGGAGGGCUGCGGCUGCAGCGCCCCCUACAGGCGCGGAGGUCCCCAUUCUGCCCCCAUUUGCCCCCAUUUCUGCCCCAUUUUCCCCCCCAUUUCUGCCCAUUUUUCACCCAUUUUUCCCCCAUUUCCCCCAAUUUCACCCCAAUAUUCCCCUCUGCUGUCCAUUCUGACCCCCAUUUCCCCCCAGUUCUGCCCCAUUUCCACCCCAAUAUCCCCCCCCCCCCCCCCCCUCCCCUUCGCUCCCUCCUCCCACUGUAUCCCCCUAUGGGACCCAUCCCCAUUUAGGGUCCAAAAGGUGGGAUUUUGGGGCCCAAAAAGUGGCAUUUUGGGUCAUUUUGGGUCGAAAAAGUGGCAUUUUGGGUCCUGGCAGAGCACAUACAGCACCUGAAGGCGGAGGGCUGCGGCUGCAGCGCCCCCUACAGGCGCGGAGGUCCCCAUUCUGCCCCCAUUUGCCCCCAUUUCUGCCCCAUUUCCCCCCCAUUUCUGCCCAUUUUUCACCCAUUUUUCCCCCAUUUCCCCCAAUUUCACCCCAAUAUUCCC
rnacentral:lncRNA from 1 species